rnacentral:rRNA from 1 species
GAUGAACGCUGGCGGCGUGCUUAACACAUGCAAGUCGAACGGAAAGGCCCAAGCUUGCUUGGGUACUCGAGUGGCGAACGGGUGAGUAACACGUGGGUGAUCUGCCCUGCACUUCGGGAUAAGCCUGGGAAACUGGGUCUAAUACCGGAUAGGACCACUUCUUGGAUGUUGUGGUGGAAAGUUUUUUCGGUGUGGGAUGAGCUCUCGGCCUAUCAGCUUGUUGGGGGGGUAAUGGCCUACCAAGGCGUCGAAGGGUAGCCGGCCUGAGAGGGUGUACGGCCACAGUUGGACUGAGAUACGGGCCAGACUCCUACGGGAGGCAGCAGGGGGGAAUAUUGCACAAUGGGCGGAAGCCUGAUGCAGCGACGCCGCGUGGGGGAUGACGGCCUUCGGGUUGGAAACCCCUUUCGCUAGGGACGAAGCGUUUUGUGACGGUACCUGGAGAAGAAGCACCGGCUAACUACGUG